rfam:Clostridium aceticum strain DSM 1496, complete genome.
CCACAGGCUUUUCUAGAAGCUACAGAAAGGCAAAGAAAUAUAACU